rnacentral:lncRNA from 1 species
AUGAAACCACCUCACCAUCUUCCUCUUCUUCUCCAGAAUUACCCCCCUACUACAACAUUUCAUCAUACAUAGAACACUCUGACCCCUCAUCUCCCACUCUAGCCCAACUCCAAGCUCAAACUCUGGCCUCACAUUAGCCAACACAACCCACACCUGAACCAGAAAUUACCUCCUCACCCACAGAACAACCAAACCCAACAACAUCUGAUCCUCAACCUUCUGAAACAACU